rnacentral:lncRNA from 1 species
AUGGGGAGGAGUCCCUUCCCGGCCCCCUGGCCUCUGGCUGUGGCUCCUUUCCCAAGCCUGACCGUGUCCUGUCGGUGUAGUCUGAGCACUCCUAUUCCUUGUAGCUGUGGAAAUGUCGGUCAGUCACAUCUUCCUGCCCCAUGGCUCCCCAAAGGUAUGAAGACCCUGACAGAAGAUAAUCCGGGAAGGGGACAUUUUCAAGAAGGAAUCUUUCUUCAGGACUCUUCGAGGCCACGUGGACUCUUCAAGGUCAAUCCCUUUGGAGUCUCCAUGGAGGACUCUUUAGGACCAGUCACCUUUGGUUCUGUCUCAGCUUCAAGCUUUCUUCAAACCACUGGGAGUUUUGGAAGAGUGUCCUCUCAGAUGAUCCAGGACCAUCUCUUUGGCUUGAGCUGAAUUACCUUGCUCUUAAUGGGAGAGUCCUUCACUCA